GGAGGCAUAAAAUGGGACCAAUCAAUUUUGCAAGAGUGUGUGUUGAUUUGCUUGAGAAAAAAAAAGAACAAAGAGGAACCAAAUCAAGCUGAAAUGUUUGUUGCAACUCGGAAUGGACUAAAAGGGAAAACACUUGAUGUAGAAACACAAGCUGUUAUUGAUAAACUUGAUGAUCUCCAAGAAGCUAGAGAAACUCCUACUAAUGCAUUUCAAAAAGUUUUUGGUAAAGAGAAUCCAGGAAGAGUUCGAUGUUAUGGAAAAAAUGUUACAAAAACUUCUCUUAAGAAAAUAAAGAAAUAGAUGAAAUCAAAAAAUAAAGUGAAGAGAAGGUAACAGCUUUAAAAACUGAAUUAGACGACCAUAAGCAAUGACUGCAAGGAUUGGAAGAUAUUAUGAAACUUAUGUUGCAACAAACUUCUCCUGGUAUGAAUGUUGAUGAAGCGCUUUCUCUCUUGCGAUCUAAGCAAUU